rnacentral:lncRNA from 1 species
UCCCUCUAGAAUAUGAACCAUUGCCAAAGAAUCAGUCUCAAUAAUAAUCUGAGACAAUAUAUUGUCUCUACAAAACACCAAGCAUUCUCUUAUGGCUAUGGCUUCCACAUCAAAUUUGUGGUCUCCUGAAGUUUGACCCCUUUAACUACAAUUAUAUUUCAUUUAUGAUCCCUAAUACAAAAAAGCAGUUGAACUAGGUCCAGGGCUGCCCUUAGAAGCACCAUCAAUAUUAUCUUUAAGCCAAUUUAUCGGAGGUGGAACCCAUUUCACCACUUUGAAGUUAUAGACUACUCUAUACCCUUCCAGAUACUGCACAAUUAGAG